rnacentral:rRNA from 2 species
UACUUGGUGUGAAUUGCAGAAUCCCGUGAACCAUCGAGUCUUUGAACGCAAGUUGCGCCUGAAGCCAUUAGGCUGAAGGCACGUCUGCCUGGGCGUCACGC